UUGAUUCUUGUUUCAUAUUCAGACUCAAAGACUGAUUUGAGCAUAAAGGGCGGCGCCCCCGGGGAUGACCGGGCUGCGCCGAGGCACAUUUCAUCUUCCACGGGUUGACAAGGUCCAAGGCCUAGAGAGGCCGUUUGGUAAUGAUCCCUCCGCAGGUUCACCUACGGAGA
rnacentral:misc_RNA from 1 species